rnacentral:rRNA from 1 species
GAUGGGGGGGGCAAGUGUUCUUCGGAAUGACUGGGUGUAAAGGGCACGUAGGCGGUGAAUCGGGUUGAAAGUGAAAGUCGCCAAAAAGUGGCGGAAUGCUCUAGAAAUCAAUUCACUUGAGUGAGACAGAGGAGAGUGGAAUUUCGUGUGUAGGGGUGAAAUCCGUAGAUCUACGAAGGAACGCCAAAAGCGAAGGCAGCUCUCUGGGUCCCUACCGAUGCUGGGGUGCGAAAGGAUGGGGAGCGAACAUG